ACGUAGGGGGCAAGCGUUAUCCGGAUUUACUGGGUGUAAAGGGAGCGUAGACGGCGAAGCAAGUCUGAAGUGAAAGCCCGGGGCUCAACCGCGGGACUGCUUUGGAAACUGUUUUGCUAGAGUGCUGGAGAGGUAAGUGGAAUUCCUAGUGUAGCGGUGAAAUGCGUAGAUAUUAGGAGGAACACCAGUGGCGAAGGCGGCUUACUGGACAGUAACUGACGUUGAGGCUCGAAAGCGUGGGGAGCAAACAG
rnacentral:rRNA from 1 species